AGUACUGUGACAUCCCCAUAGUAAACAGACCGAUGUCACAUUAUCUAGACUGAAUACUGUGGAUUGAUAUGAUUACGCCGGCUUUCACAUCGAUCGCUCGGAACUCCCUCGAAAUUAAAAACCCGACCAGGAGCUCCUCUGGUGAUCGAUCAUCGAAGACAAGCGCGAGCGGACAGCUGUGGGUGGACGCGUGAGGAUUUAAGAGUUCAUGUUGUUGGGGAAGUCCACAAGUGAAAGCGGGAUGGCAGAGGUUGUGAGGGGUUGACUCGACCAGGUGGAGAAACCACAAAUCUCCCACAAACGGCCGCUGAAGGCCUGAAGUGUGUUUGCCGCUGUCUGUACAUCCUCUGAUCUCUCCCUCCUCCUCCUCUUCUGUAAAUACCUCUUACACAUCUAUCUUAAAAACAACUGGACAAAAAUGUUAACUUUUCACUAUGAUGUAAAAUUAAUUAAGCUUGACUUAGUUUAGUAUAUUCUAAACACAAUU